rnacentral:rRNA from 1 species
GUGCCAGCCGCCGCGGUAAUACGGAGGGUGCAAGCGUUAAUCGGAAUUACUGGGCGUAAAGCGUUCGUAGGCGGUUAUUUAAGUUAGAUGUGAAAGCCCCGGGCCGUUAACCUGGGAACGUGCAUUUAAAAACUUAGGGUAACGUAGAGUUUAGGAGAGGGAAGUGGAAUUUCAGGUGUAGCAGUGAAAUGCGUAGAGAUCUGAAGGAACACCAGUGGCGAAGGCGACUUCCUGGACCAAAACUGACGCUGAGGAGCGAAAGCGUGGGUAGCAAACGGGAUUAGAUACCCCGGUAGUCCACGCCGUAAACGAUGUCAACUAGCCGUUGGGCCUAUAUACAGGUUUAGUGGCGGAGCUAACGUAUUAAGUUGACCGCCUGGGAAGUACGGCCGCAAGGUUAAAACUUAAAGGAAUUGACGG